AUUUAAUAAAAGGUUUAGUACAUUAAGAGGGCUAGAAGGCCCACCUAACAGAAACAACAACCUAGUUACCCAAACUUCAUAACAAAGCCCAUAUAGCUCAACCAAAUCAACCUUAGAUAGCAGGUAGCAUACAAUGUAUUCUUCGCAGCACCCAGCUACAAUGCCGCCACCGCCAAUCACUCAUGGAAAGAAGACCUGGUAAACAAAUUAGCAAGGAAAAACUCCUAACAAAAGCCAUUGACCAGCUUAAAGCAUUCAAAAACAUAGAGGAACCUCAGGCUCGAGAUUGCCAUCCAUGUGCAGGAGGCUGUUGAAAAUCAUUGACAACUAACUUAUGGAAGACAAAAAUGGUGGAAGAAAGUAGAGCUCUGAUCGAUCUCUCAAUCUCUUAUAGCCAAAAGGGACACCCACUCACUCAGGUUAACUCUUGAACCCUUAGGUUGCUUUUCUUUCCUAAGAAACUAAUACUUCAAUCACCGAGCCAAGAGGGUUGCUAAGAACCUGAGACAAAACAAAAACCACAAACUUUAACAAUCCCAAAAGGGCUCUAUUUACAUCCCAAAGCAAACGCACAGACAUCAACCACGGGAGACCUUCUAUGCCCAUAUGGGGGGAAAGGAAAGCCUCAAACUAAGCAAAGACCAAG
rnacentral:misc_RNA from 1 species